rnacentral:lncRNA from 1 species
GUAUCACAUACCGAUAGACUAUACACCUACACAUGAUAUUAAGCAUGGAAACGUCUGAGUAGAGUAUAAUCAAACAACGUGGGUGUAAUGUGAACAAUAGAGGUGCAAAGCUCAACAUAUAAUAUAUAUAUGGACAAUAACGAAAGAGCAAGGGUAAGAAACCAUCACCGAGCGUGCACCACUGUACCAACGUCGGAUCGAAGUACCCACCUGUACAACUGUCGCGCCUGUCUCCUGACUGCAAAAGAACGUCAACCGGACCUAAGGAAGGCCACCGGAUUAGAGUCUAACCCACAAAUAGUAAAUACGGAGUACAAAAUCCCACAACUAAACCCACGAAUAUCGGUUUCCCAAAACCGAUCGCCGUAAAACGUCGGAAAUCCCGUAAACAGCACCGGGACUCCGCCGGGACCCACUAACUAUCCCGGAA